CAACCAUCAAGCCCCACGGCUUGUGUUGGGGCCCUGCGGCCGUCCGCAGCCCCCGGAAUGCAGUGGCGGGCUCGUUGUCACCCCGAGUGCAGUAAUACUCUUCUCUCUGGGCGUGGCAGCGGGUUCCGGCCGUGAAACAACCAAACUUAUCAA
rnacentral:misc_RNA from 1 species